rnacentral:ncRNA from 2 species
UGGAAAACUAAAGCGCCAGGACUAAUCCUUGACCGUAAUUAUGGAUUAGUUGACGAGGUGGAGGUUUAUCGAAGUUUCGGCGGAUGCCUCCCGGCUGAAAGCACAGCCGCGAAUUUCAUCUUUAAAACAUUAAGGCAACUUAAUGCACAAAGAGAUGGGGAUGCUAAAAC